rnacentral:rRNA from 3 species
UUAAGCGACUAAGCGUACACGGUGGAUGCCCUGGCAGUCAGAGGCGAUGAAGGACGUGCUAAUCUGCGAUAAGCGUCGGUAAGGUGAUAUGAACCGUUAUAACCGGCGAUUUCCGAAUGGGGAAACCCAGUGUGUUUCGACACACUAUCAUUAACUGAAUCCAUAGGUUAAUGAGGCGAACCGGGGGAACUGAAACAUCUAAGUACCCCGAGGAAAAGAAAUCAACCGAGAUUCCCCCAGUAGCGGCGAGCGAACGGGGAGCAGCCCAGAGCCUGAAUCAGUGUGUGUGUUAGUGGAAGCGUCUGGAAAGGCGCGCGAUACAGGGUGACAGCCCCGUACACAAAAAUGCACAUGCUGUGAGCUCGAUGAGUAGGGCGGGACACGUGGUAUCCUGUCUGAAUAUGGGGGGACCAUCCUCCAAGGCUAAAUACUCCUGACUGACCGAUAGUGAACCAGUACCGUGAGGGAAAGGCGAAAAGAACCCCGGCGAGGGGAGUGAAAAAGAACCUGAAACCGUGUACGUACAAGCAGUGGGAGCACGCUUAGGCGUGUGACUGCGUACCUUUUGUAUAAUGGGUCAGCGACUUAUAUUCUGUAGCAAGGUUAACCGAAUAGGGGAGCCGAAGGGAAACCGAGUCUUAACUGGGCGUUAAGUUGCAGGGUAUAGACCCGAAACCCGGUGAUCUAGCCAUGGGCAGGUUGAAGGUUGGGUAACACUAACUGGAGGACCGAACCGACUAAUGUUGAAAAAUUAGCGGAUGACUUGUGGCUGGGGGUGAAAGGCCAAUCAAACCGGGAGAUAGCUGGUUCUCCCCGAAAGCUAUUUAGGUAGCGCCUCGUGAAUUCAUCUCCGGGGGUAGAGCACUGUUUCGGCAAGGGGGUCAUCCCGACUUACCAACCCGAUGCAAACUGCGAAUACCGGAGAAUGUUAUCACGGGAGACACACGGCGGGUGCUAACGUCCGUCGUGAAGAGGGAAACAACCCAGACCGCCAGCUAAGGUCCCAAAGUCAUGGUUAAGUGGGAAACGAUGUGGGAAGGCCCAGACAGCCAGGAUGUUGGCUUAGAAGCAGCCAUCAUUUAAAGAAAGCGUAAUAGCUCACUGGUCGAGUCGGCCUGCGCGGAAGAUGUAACGGGGCUAAACCAUGCACCGAAGCUGCGGCAGCGACACUAUGUGUUGUUGGGUAGGGGAGCGUUCUGUAAGCCUGUGAAGGUGUACUGUGAGGUAUGCUGGAGGUAUCAGAAGUGCGAAUGCUGACAUAAGUAACGAUAAAGCGGGUGAAAAGCCCGCUCGCCGGAAGACCAAGGGUUCCUGUCCAACGUUAAUCGGGGCAGGGUGAGUCGACCCCUAAGGCGAGGCCGAAAGGCGUAGUCGAUGGGAAACAGGUUAAUAUUCCUGUACUUGGUGUUACUGCGAAGGGGGGACGGAGAAGGCUAUGUUGGCCGGGCGACGGUUGUCCCGGUUUAAGCGUGUAGGCUGGUUUUCCAGGCAAAUCCGGAAAAUCAAGGCUGAGGCGUGAUGACGAGGCACUACGGUGCUGAAGCAACAAAUGCCCUGCUUCCAGGAAAAGCCUCUAAGCAUCAGGUAACAUCAAAUCGUACCCCAAACCGACACAGGUGGUCAGGUAGAGAAUACCAAGGCGCUUGAGAGAACUCGGGUGAAGGAACUAGGCAAAAUGGUGCCGUAACUUCGGGAGAAGGCACGCUGAUAUGUAGGUGAAGUCCCUCGCGGAUGGAGCUGAAAUCAGUCGAAGAUACCAGCUGGCUGCAACUGUUUAUUAAAAACACAGCACUGUGCAAACACGAAAGUGGACGUAUACGGUGUGACGCCUGCCCGGUGCCGGAAGGUUAAUUGAUGGGGUUAGCGCAAGCGAAGCUCUUGAUCGAAGCCCCGGUAAACGGCGGCCGUAACUAUAACGGUCCUAAGGUAGCGAAAUUCCUUGUCGGGUAAGUUCCGACCUGCACGAAUGGCGUAAUGAUGGCCAGGCUGUCUCCACCCGAGACUCAGUGAAAUUGAACUCGCUGUGAAGAUGCAGUGUACCCGCGGCAAGACGGAAAGACCCCGUGAACCUUUACUAUAGCUUGACACUGAACAUUGAGCCUUGAUGUGUAGGAUAGGUGGGAGGCUUUGAAGUGUGGACGCCAGUCUGCAUGGAGCCGACCUUGAAAUACCACCCUUUAAUGUUUGAUGUUCUAACGUUGACCCGUGAUCCGGGUUGCGGACAGUGUCUGGUGGGUAGUUUGACUGGGGCGGUCUCCUCCUAAAGAGUAACGGAGGAGCACGAAGGUUGGCUAAUCCUGGUCGGACAUCAGGAGGUUAGUGCAAUGGCAUAAGCCAGCUUGACUGCGAGCGUGACGGCGCGAGCAGGUGCGAAAGCAGGUCAUAGUGAUCCGGUGGUUCUGAAUGGAAGGGCCAUCGCUCAACGGAUAAAAGGUACUCCGGGGAUAACAGGCUGAUACCGCCCAAGAGUUCAUAUCGACGGCGGUGUUUGGCACCUCGAUGUCGGCUCAUCACAUCCUGGGGCUGAAGUAGGUCCCAAGGGUAUGGCUGUUCGCCAUUUAAAGUGGUACGCGAGCUGGGUUUAGAACGUCGUGAGACAGUUCGGUCCCUAUCUGCCGUGGGCGCUGGAGAACUGAGGGGGGCUGCUCCUAGUACGAGAGGACCGGAGUGGACGCAUCACUGGUGUUCGGGUUGUCAUGCCAAUGGCACUGCCCGGUAGCUAAAUGCGGAAGAGAUAAGUGCUGAAAGCAUCUAAGCACGAAACUUGCCCCGAGAUGAGUUCUCCCUGACUCCUUGAGAGUCCUGAAGGAACGUUGAAGACGACGACGUUGAUAGGCCGGGUGUGUAAGCGCAGCGAUGCGUUGAGCUAACCGGUACUAAUGAACCGUGAGGCUUAACCUU